AAAAAGCUACAAAAAAAUUCAGCAAAGGAAAAAGCACACAAAUGAAAAAUGAGAGGAAAAUGAAAAAUUCAAUACAAGGGUUGAAAGUUGAAAUCUUCUACAAUGUGUAACAGUACUAGGUAACUAGAAAACGAAAUGUAAUCGUAACCACACUGGUCAGCACUCUUCAGAGCAUAGAGCUGGCCUGGCACCUCAGAGGUCUCCAUAACAGGGUGUGUGUGAAGGGGUAGCUGGGCUAGGACUUCACCACCACUACUAGGGGGUGGGAGGGGCACAAGCACCACCCUCUGGUGGCAGCUUCCCCUCUGAAUGUUGGUGUGAUGGAUAAUAGGGCACUCAGAGUGCUGGCGUGGCUGGACACUUGUCACUGGGUCACACACAUUAAUUCAUAGGGUGCUCUUGGCCCCACAGAGGGGGUACUGUUAUUAUCCCUAUGUUUACAGAUUAGGAAGUGAAGGUACAAUAUCACAGCAGGAAGCAGCAGAAGGGAUCCAGAGUCUGUGCUCUUAACCACCAUGUAUUGUGCCUCUCAGAAGAUAAAUCCAACAUCUAAAUAAUAAGGGUUGCACAAAAUAAGGAGAGGGGAGAAGUCAGCAAAAAAAGAAAGUACAUUUCCUAAACUGAAGGGUCAGGAUCUCUGGACAAUAGUGAAAAGAGGUCUACCUCAUAAACACAUCACUGAGAACUUCCAAAGCAAAGAGAAAAUUUGGUGGGGAGGGGCUCAAAGACAAGCGCCAGAGUUCAGAAAGGCACAGGGGUUCUUAGCUCUAGAGGAAAAUGACAUGAUACCCUCAAAACCGUGGGAAAAGGUAAUUUUCAAUAUAGCCAAAGCUUUGUGCCUACUUACACCAACAAGCAGAUAUAGGAGUAGAAUAAAGACAGGCAUAGCUUCCCACAUACCCUCUCGGGAAACUUGGAGGGCGUUGCGCUUCAUACAGAGGGCCUAUGAAGGGAGAGGGAAGUGUGGGGUCCAGAGACAAGAGAAAGGAGGUGCACUGGCCGCUGCUGAGGGAGCGACCCAUGCUGGCAGCUGGGCCACAGGCCCAAGAACAAGCAGCCUGGGCAGAGAGCUGACGUGGUAGACUCCAGGAAAAGAUGGAACUGAGAAGCCAACUAUGCAACAAAUCCCAAAUAUUGAGAGACGUUCACAUUUCUACAGGAGAAUCUAAGGAUGAAUCAAUGAUACAUGUAUAGAAAACCAAGCCAGCAAACCAAAAAGGCAAUUACUAACUCCAGGGAAAACAGAAAAUUAUGCAAGAAAGCAAAUAUAAUCCUAAGCACACCUUGCUCUCUGCUGAGGCCUGUGGUAAUGAAGCUGUAGUAAUACCCAUUACACUGGGUAUAAUGUCCACACUGGGAUGAUGCUGGUUCAGGAGAUCGAGGCCAGUGACCCCCCUUUCCCUCCAGAGUGGGAAACACCCAAUGUAGAAAAUCCAAUAGAAAGCAGUAAAACGUGGGUGGCUUUGUGAAACUUGGCUUUUGAAUGCCUUAGGAAACAGGUGAGAGAGUUCGGCUUGGAUCAGGGUUGGAGACUGCAUGUACUAUUUAUUCAUUAUCAGCCUUAAAAAACCAUUGCACUUUUAAAAUAAUAUGUAUAUAACUGAAAAGAUAAAAGUUAAAGUGAAAACCCCAACAUAGGCAUGAUUAAAUGAAGUGGUAGUGUUGACACUUCUGGGCUCAGUUUAAUCAACGGAACAAUCUGUUAGGCAUUUGACACUCAAACCGCUUAAGACAAUGGAGAAUCAGACAGCUUACCAUCAGGAUUUCCAACUAGACAGGUAAGUUACUUUAGAUUUGUAAUUUUUAGUUGAAAGGUGUGAAAAUUUGAAUAAAUUUCUAAAGAGUACUUGAAUAUUUAACAUAACUUAAGACUCACUCUGCUUGUACAUUUAGUUUGAUAUGCCCUGGUAACUUGUAUUUUGGUUUUUUGUUAGGAUGAUGUAGUAGGUGGGAUAAUGAACCCCUACCUACCCCAAAGAUGUCCAUGCCCUAGGCCCUGGACCUGUGAAUGUUAGUUUAUAUGACAAAAGCUCCAGAAAAACAGACAAAUGGUUCAUGAGAGAGAUUCAGCUUGCUAUUGCUGGCUUUGAAGAUGGAGGAUGGGGCCAUGAGCCGAGGAAUGUGGUGGCCUCUAGAAGCUGAGAAUGGCCUUCAGCUUAUAGCAGGCAAGAAAUGGUGGACCUUGCCCCACCACUGCAAGGAACAGAUUCUUGCCCAGCACUCAUGACACCUGCAGGCCAAAGGACCUGAAGGAGCAGGAAAUGGAUUCUCUCCUGGAACCUUCAGAAAGGAAUGCAGCCUUGAUAACACCUUGGUUUUAGUCUGGUGAGACUUAUACCAGACUUCUGAACUGUAUAACUAUAAUAAACCUGUGUUGUUUUAACCUAA